CAUUCGUCACGACCUAUGAGGCCUCGUCAGCUUACACUUGCGCGUCUCCGUAGCAGUCGCGUGGCUCUUCGAGGGAGAUCGAUGGGUUAUUUGUUUUUCCAGAGACUGAUAUUUAUAAGAUAUUCCUGGGGAUAUUCUCCCUAUUUGGAGAUCCAUGUAUCCGUACCACUGGUUAAAGAGAGGACGGUGAGAGGAGAGGAAAGAAAACAAGCCGGCAGUAUGGCAGUAAUCACGGACUGGCUGUCAGGGCUGCUGCCCAUGAUGGCGGGUCAAGGUGUCUGGGCCUGUGGAGGAUGGCCCACACUGAAUAACCUUAUGAGCUUCCCCGAUCAUUGGGAUUGGGAGGGAAAACGGCUUUUUAUCUUUAUGAGCCUUGAAUUCCACGAGGAUCAGAGAGAGUGGAAGAGGAGAAGGUGAGGGCGCAGGUUAUCUAUAAAGGGCUGUGGCUAAUAGUGUUGUGUGCGCCAGGAGCUGGAGACUUCAGACGUGUCAGUUCCUGAGACUACUGUGUUAUUAGAUGUUCCCAAGGAUAUGAGUAAUGGAGAAAGGAGAGGAGUGGAGAG
ensembl:lncRNA